rnacentral:rRNA from 1 species
CAUGUAGGCGGCUAUGUAAGUCUGGAGUGAAAGUCCUGCUUUCAAGGUGGGAAUUGCUUUGGAAACUGUGUAGCUUGAGUGCGGAAGAGGUAAGUGGAAUUCCCAGUGUAGCGGUGAAAUGCGUAGAGAUUGGGAGGAACACCAGUGGCGAAGGCGACUUACUGGGCCGUAACUGACGCUGAGGUGCGAAAGCGUGGGGAGCGAACA